CGAGGUUUGAUUCAUGUUCCACUUCUCGCCUACUCGGUCUACUACUAAACGCAUUCCAGUUUGCGCGGUAGACUCGUGGGCGGAAUCAACAACUGAUUCGAACCUG
rfam:Acyrthosiphon pisum strain LSR1 Contig1983, whole genome shotgun sequence.